rnacentral:rRNA from 1 species
GGGAAACUCACCAGGUCCAGACACAAUAAGGAUUGACAGAUUGAGAGCUCUUUCUUGAUUUUGUGGGUGGUGGUGCAUGGCCGUUCUUAGUUGAUGGAGUGAUUUGUCUGCUUAAUUGCGAUAACGAACGAGACCUUAACCUGCUAAAUAGCCAGGCCCGCUUUGGCGGGUCGCCGGCUUCUUAGAGGGACUAUCGGCUCAAGCCGAUGGAAGUUUGAGGCAAUAA